rnacentral:rRNA from 1 species
AUACGGAGGGUGCAAGCGUUGUUCGGAAUUACUGGGCGUAAAGCGCGCGUAGGUGGUCUGUUAUGUCAGAUGUGAAAGUCCACGGCUCAACCGUGGAAGUGCAUUUGAAACUGGCAGACUUGAGUACUGGAGGGGGUAGUGGAAUUCCCGGUGUAGAGGUGAAAUUCGUAGACAUCGGGAGGAAUACCGGUGGCGAAGGCGACUACCUGGCCAGAUACUGACACUGAGGUGCGAAAGCGUGGGGAGCGAACAGGAUUAGAAACCCCGGUAGUCC